GACGAACGCUGGCGGCGUGCCUAAUACAUGCAAGUCGAGCGGACGGAUGGGAGCUUGCUCCCAGACCGUCAGCGGCGGACGGGUGAGUAACACGUGGGCAACCUGCCUGUAAGACUGGGAUAACUCCGGGAAACCGGGGCUAAUACCGGAUAACUCUUUCCCUCACAUGAGGGAAAGCUGAAAGAUGGCAUCUCGCUAUCACUUACAGAUGGGCCCGCGGCGCAUUAGCUAGUUGGUGCGGUAACGGCUCACCAAGGCGACGAUGCGUAGCCGACCUGAGAGGGUGAUCGGCCACACUGGGACUGAGACACGGCCCAGACUCCUACGGGAGGCAGCAGUAGGGAAUCUUCCGCAAUGGACGAAAGUCUGACGGAGCAACGCCGCGUGAGUGAUGAAGGUUUUCGGAUCGUAAAACUCUGUUGUCAGGGAAGAACAAGUACCGGAGUAACUGCCGGUACCUUGACGGUACCUGAACAGAAAGCCACGGCUAACUACGUG
rnacentral:rRNA from 1 species